ACAUGCAAGUCGAGCGGAGUUGAUGAAGUGCUUGCACUUCUGAGACUUAGCGGCGGACGGGUGAGUAACACGUAGGUAACCUGCCCAUAAGACUGGGAUAACCCACGGAAACGUGAGCUAAUACCAGAUAGGCAUUUUCCUCGCAUGAGGGAGAUGAGAAAGGCGGAGCAAUCUGCCACUUAUGGAUGGACCUGCGGCGCAUUAGCUAGUUGGUAAGGUAACGGCUUACCAAGGCGACGAUGCGUAGCCGACCUGAGAGGGUGAUCGGCCACACUGGGACUGAGACACGGCCCAGACUCCUACGGGAGGCAGCAGUAGGGAAUCUUCCGCAAUGGACGAAAGUCUGACGGAGCAACGCCGCGUGAGUGAUGAAGGUUUUCGGAUCGUAAAGCUCUGUUGCCAGGGAAGAACGCCUAGGAGAGUAACUGCUCCUAGGGUGACGGUACCUGA
rnacentral:rRNA from 1 species